GCUCAUCCAAAAUUUUCUUCUUUCCUGGAGGGUGGGCUCUAGAUUUGGCUUCCCCAGAGGCAGUUCUGGGACAUUUUGUAGGCCUGGCUGCCUCUCCCCUAGGGUGCUCCCAGACGCUCCCCAAAGGAGACACGCUGGUCACCAGCUUAACACUUCCUUCUUACUCUGGAAGCAUGAGCAACUCAAUUUUUCUUUACCCAGGCAACCAGAGCCCUGGACUCGCAUUUGCUUUCUUCCUGCUAUAAACUCUAAAAUCCCUGUACAAAAUAAAGUCACCCCUACAAAUCUGUGUCAGUAAUUCCCUCCUGAUUCCUUCCCUCAGGGCAGCUCCCUGCAAACGAAUGGCAUCUCCAUGGAACAGGCUGUCCUCUUACAAAAAGACAGGCCCCAGCAAACCAGAAGAGAUUAUGGACAACCCCAAAGACACAGGUCUGGGAGAGAAAGAAGCAAGUCUCCUGUCUUUCUGUUCCUGGUUAAGACCCACUGCCCUGCCCAGCUGCUGACACUGCAGCAAGCAGCCCUAACCAGGCUGACGACACCCACCUCAUGAGGACAGUUAGAUGCGGGGAUUAAACUACAGACUAUGACACUUGGCACUCAGUCGGCGGCGGGCUUCGUCCUGUGCUGGUCCUUGCUAUUGCUAUUGUGGGUUUCACAUUCAUGUACUCUUCUCAACUAAGAAACAUCCAUGAAAUCUCCUCCCAUCUCAUUUGCCUGCUGAAAGCCGACCCAAACAGAAUUAUAACAAAGAGGGUGUUGUUCCCCUGUAAGGCACUCUCUAGAAUUUGGCUUGGAAAAGUAAAUUCAAUGUAGUGACAUCUUCAUCAUUUAAAAAAAUCUAUUCUUUUCUUCUUUAAUCACAUUAUACCAGGAUUUUGAGGUUCCAUCAGCCCAUUUGGAAAUGAGGAAAUGGGGACAAUGUGGCUUCGUCCUUGCAAGUGGCUUUAACAGAGACAGCGAGGCUCCUACGUGCAAGCCUCAGAAGCUCGCUGCCCACUGAAUUCUGCUGCUUUCCCAAGAAGUUUAGUAUCUCGAGGGAAACAUCUGGGGGCGCGUCUGGGGGAGGUGAAGACAGCAUCCAGAAAGCCCAGCCCCACACUUCAAAGCCGACUUCCCAAUUCUGAAACGAAGGAAGUUUCAUUCUUUCCCACAUGUCUCUGCCUUGCUAAAUAUAAAUCCAUCUCGGUUUACAUUAUGCUGCCUCUAAUUGAAUCUCAUUCUUCGUUUGUUUAAUUCAGAAACAAUAAGCCAUCCUGAGUGGCUCGCUGGGAAGCUUGCCACCGCGGCCAGCCUCAGUUCCCAGCAAGCCUCCCGAGGGGACGAAGGGACGAGGGGACAUGGCCGGCCCUGCCCACAGGGGCUCGCUGCACAUCACAGGGGCACAUCUGGGUUUAAAAGAUAAUCCCUGAAUGCUGCACAUAGGAUGCUGGUUGUGACACUAUGGCGUGGCAGGCAUCCCACCUGGAUCCCUGAAUUGUGUCACUCCUGAGGCCUAGGUAUCUCUGGCCCCAGAGAGAACAGGCUGAUGGAGUAGGCCUAUCUAAGCCUAAGUUGCCCAGGAAACAAGAGAAAACUCAUCCUAAAGAACAAAAGACCAACGUAAACAUCUAUGGCUAAAAGAAAUGGGUCAGACUCACGAGGGAAGAUGACUGUGUGCACUAAGGACACUACCAAGAGCCUGCCAUGCUUGCUGGCCCCGGGCUCAGGCCCUGCUGAUGCGCACCUGGGGGAGGAAACAAACAACUGUGGAGCCGCUCUCCCAAGAUGCCCUUAGGCCACAAGCAUGGCCACGGUGCGUCCAUGGACUGGCUCUGCGGGGCAGCAUGCUGACGGUUCCCUGAUGGCCACAGAUGGGGCAUGACAGCAACGUCAACACAUCCAUGGCCCUGAGCAGCAGGCGCUGUUAGGCAUCGAUGGCCUGUCCCAGACCAGGAUGACAUGGAAGAGAAAAGGCUCAGAAUUCAUUCAAAAUCUUUGAGGCCAAGGGCCUGGACCAUCUAUUUGAGAUGCCCAGAUGCUUUUCUGAGCAUUUUCUUUCACUUGCCUCAUUUCACUGAGGCAAGACGGCUGGACAGUGGGCUGCAGCAGACGAAGUACACCAGCCUCAAAGGUGUUCGGUGUCACCUGCCUCCCAGAGACAGGGUCUUAGAGUUCGCUCUGUUCACCCAAGGAGUCCUUCCAUGGCCCUUGUGGGCAAGUUCCCCAAUAACUUGAUUUUUUUUUCUACUUACAUUUCACUGUCACUCCCAGCAAAACUCAGUCCAGCUCGGUUCUCCAGGCUGCACACGUGGUCGCGGUGGCCCCCAAGCUUCUCUGAGGCUCAAUAGUAGCAUUUCUCUGUUAGGCUUAGCCAACUAGGUAAGCUUUUAGUUUGAACAAAAUUACUCACUCAUUUCUUUUUGUGUAGCCUUAGGGGUACAAAUAGUUUUGGGCUACAUGGAUUAAUUGUAUACUGGUGAGGUCUGCACCUAUCACCUGAGUAGUAUAUAUCGUAUACAGUAUGUAGUUUUUCAACCCUCACCCCACUUUCCUCUCCCCAGUUCUGAGUCUCCAGUGUCCAUUGUACCAUUCUGUUUGUCUUUAUGUUCGCAUAGCUUAGCUCCCACUUAUAAGUGAGAACAUGUAGUAUUUGGUUUUCCAUUCCUGAGUUACUUCACUUAGACUAAUGGCCUCCGGUUCCAUCCAAGUUGCUGCAAAAGACAUUAUUCUAUUCUUUUUUACUGCACGUCUCUUUAGACAAUGCCUUCCAAAUUUCUCUUCAACAUACAGCUUUGUUUUUCUUAUGAUUAUAAAGAUAACACAUUCAAACAACACAGAAAAGAAGAAAAAGGAAAGUCAAGAUCACCUAAAAUCCCAUUUGCUCAUCGUGAAAUGUACAAAUUGUGCAAUACCAAACCACUAUUUCUGGUGUCUGCUGCAAUGAUGGGCCCAAGGGGGCAGGUGUGAUUUUGUCCUGCUCUGCUAGCUCAUCUCUGUGGAGCGAACACAUAUGGGCUGCAUGUCCAUGGGAUGGGGAUCAGGCAGCCGCGAGGAGCCGUGGGGACUUCACCGCACUGGCUGUGCUGCUGUAUGUGCUUUGACUUAGAAUUGAGGCUUGUGCCUGCAGACCUUCUUUAGGCACAUAGAAUAAACAAGUAGCAAAGGGAAGGUAUUAUUGUUGUGUGAC
rnacentral:lncRNA from 10 species